GACGAACGCUGGCGGCGUGCCUAAUACAUGCAAGUCGAGCGAAUCAAUAGGAGCUUGCUCCUGUUGGUUAGCGGCGGACGGGUGAGUAACACGUGGGCAACCUUCCUGUAAGACUGGGAUAACACCGGGAAACCGGUGCUAAUACCGGAUAAUCCUUUUCCUCUCAUGAGGAAAAGCUGAAAGUCGGUUUCGGCUGACACUUACAGAUGGGCCCGCGGCGCAUUAGCUAGUUGGUGAGGUAACGGCUCACCAAGGCGACGAUGCGUAGCCGACCUGAGAGGGUGAUCGGCCACACUGGGACUGAGACACGGCCCAGACUCCUACGGGAGGCAGCAGUAGGGAAUCUUCCACAAUGGACGAAAGUCUGAUGGAGCAACGCCGCGUGAGCGAUGAAGGCCUUCGGGUCGUAAAGCUCUGUUGUUAGGGAAGAACAAGUACCGGAGUAACUGCCGGUACCUUGACGGUACCUAACCAGAAAGCCACGGCUAACUACGUGCCAGCAGCCGCGGUAACAC
rnacentral:rRNA from 1 species